GGGGGUAUAGCUCAGUGCUAGAACAUGGGCUUGGUGUGCACAAGGUCCUGGAUUCAAUCCCCAGUGCCUCUG
rnacentral:tRNA from 1 species